CGUCGAUCAGCACACUAUCAACCUAAUCAAUGGGACUACAAUACCAUCCAAACCAUAACAAACAAUUUCGUGCAUACCAUGAAAUUGUUUGUUAUGGUUUGGAUGGUGUUAUAGACCCAUUGAUUAGGUUAAUAGUGUGCUGACCGACGAUUGACAUUAAUAGCAAAAUUCUAUUAAUGUCAGUCAUCGGUCAGCACACUAUUAACCUAAUCAAUGGGAGUACAAUACCAUCCAAACCAUAACAAACAAUUUCAUGAGGAGGCAUAUGGCCUUUCGGCUAAGGAGUUGAAGGAAGAGGUUAGGGCUUUGUUGACAGAAACUGACGCAGUAGUUCAAGUCAAGCUCAUUGAUUCCAUCGAAAGGCUCAGAUUGGGCUAUCAUUUUGUGGAGGAGAUUGAACGACUCUUGAAUAAUAUGCUUGUAAGUGGUUAUCACAAAGUGGUGCAAAAGAUGGCUUGCAUGUUACUGCUGUCCUUUUUGUAAUAAAGUAGGUAGACUAAUAUGCAGUAAAAUCAAAUUUUUUUUAUCUACCUACAUCCUAAGAUCCAUACGUAGAAGAAGAUCCAAGAUAGAAAAUUACCUGAAGCGUGCAGAUUAACAACGAAAAACUGCGUACUCGUUGAAAUGUUGUGCGGCAAUUGUAGCGAAGCCUCUACUAGUAUCCACACGAACUUGUUGGAACUCUGCACGUCAGUGUGCUAGCACUUUGAAGACGGCGGCUUUUAGAAUCUCUCUCUCUUUUCCUCACGAUUUCAGAAGCUCGAUUGGAUGAUCAAAAGGUCCAUCCCAUGCCCCUUUUUAUAGGGCUGUGAGCAACUGCGACUUUCAGCGUAUGAGGAGGAGGAGGAGGAGAGGGAGGGGAUGAGGGGGCCAAGGUUGACCUAGAGGAGGGAGAUGAGGACGGAGGAGAGGAGGAGGAGGAUGAUGGUGCGCUAGAGGGAGAGGGGAAUGGGAGAGGAGGAGGAGGAGGAGAGAGAGGGCACAAAUUUAAUAAAUUUGGGAGAUAAGGGGGUUAAAUGCAAAAUUUCUAGCUGGAGUUUUGAGAAAAGUGCCUUAUUGAUAAAACUUUGCAAACCAACAUCUAGGUGUCUGCUUCAAACCAUACAGAGAUUUGCGCAGUCUGCACACCUUCCCUGGAGCACGCUCAUGGAAUCCAGCUGCUACAGCUAAGAAAGUACGAACAGUAGUCAUCUUAGCAACAGGAGCAAAAGUAUCAGUGUAAUCGAUACCUUCAAUCUGGUGAUUCCCAAAUAUGACCAAACGUGCCUUGAGACGUUCCAGGCUUCCAUCUGAAUUGUAUUUCACCUUGUACACCCAUCUGCUCCCGAGAGCCCGUUUUCCAGGGGGUAAAUCAACCAUCUCCCAAGUCCCAUUCUCUUCUAGAGCGCGAAUCUCGCUAUGCAUGGCAUCCCUCCAUCCAGCAACCUCCAUAGCCUCUCGAAAGGACUUGGGCUCAGUACCUGUAGUUAUGGCUGCAAGAAAACUUCUAUGUCCCACAGAAAAUUUGUUACAAUUCACAAAACUGGUUAUAGGGAAAGCAGUACCUGAGGUCUUAACUGAGGCAGGUGGCGAGGAGACCGGACUUAUUAUCUGCACUGUAUUAGUCACAUAAUCACGAAGCUUAGUCGAAGGCACUUUCUUCCUUUUUCCCUUACCAAUCUCCUCAGUAUUAAUAAUCUCCUCAGUACCAGUAUUCGACUCUGCUAACUCAGAAACAGGCUCAGCCAGAGUAUCCGAAGGCAAUGACGAAGGUCCCUCUGACAACUCGGACC